rnacentral:rRNA from 1 species
AUUACUCCUACGGGAGGCAGCAGUGGGGAAUCUUAGACAAUGGGCGCAAGCCUGAUCUAGCCAUGCCGCGUGAGCGAUGAAGGCCUUAGGGUUGUAAAGCUCUUUCAGGGGGGAAGAUAAUGACUGUACCCCCAGAAGAAGCCCCGGCUAACUACGUGCCAGCAGCCGCGGUAAUAAU